CAGCCGCCGCGGUAAUACAGAGGGUGCGAGCGUUAAUCGGAUUUACUGGGCGUAAAGCGUGCGUAGGCGGCUAAUUGAGUCGGAUGUGAAAUCCCCGAGCUUAACUUGGGAAUUGCAUUCGAUACUGGUUAGCUAGAGUGUGGGAGAGGAUGGUAGAAUUCCAGGUGUAGCGGUGAAAUGCGUAGAGAUCGGGAGGAACAUCAGUGGCGAAGGCGGCCAUCUGGGACAACACUGACGCUGAGGCACGAAAGCGUGGGGAGCAAACAGGAUUAGAUACCCCAGUAGUCCCUGUCUCUUAUAC
rnacentral:rRNA from 1 species